rnacentral:rRNA from 1 species
CCUACGGGGGGCUGCAGUGGGGAAUAUUGGACAAUGGGGGCAACCCUGAUCCAGCCAUGCCGCGUGUGUGAAGAAGGCCCUCGGGUUGUAAAGCACUUUCAGUGAGGAAGAACGCCUGGUGGUUAAUACCCAUCAGGAAAGACAUCACUCACAGAAGAAGCACCGGCUAACUCCGUGCACAGCAGCCGCGGUAAUACGGAGGGUGCGAGCGUUAAUCGGAAUUACUGGGCGUAAAGCGCGCGUAGGUGGCUUGAUAAGCCGGUUGUGAAAGCCCCGGGCUCAACCUGGGAACGGCAUCCGGAACUGUCAAGCUAGAGUGCAGGAGAGGAAGGUAGAAUUCCCGGUGUAGCGGUGAAAUGCGUAGAGAUCGGGAGGAAUACCAGUGGCGAAGGCGGCCUUCUGGACUGACACUGACACUGAGGUGCGAAAGCGUGGGUAGCAAACAGGAUUAGAUACCCUUGUAGUC